GCUGGGCGUGGUGGCUCACACCUGUAAUCCUAGCACUUUGGGAGGCUGAGGCGGGUGGAUCACCUGAGGUCAGGAAUUUGAGACCAGCCUGGCCAACAUGGUGAAACCCCGUCUCUA
rnacentral:sRNA from 1 species